rnacentral:rRNA from 1 species
GUUGGUAUUGAUUGCGACGAGGGUCCACCUGUUCCCAUCCCGAACACAGAAGUUAAGCUCGUUAGCGCCGACAAUACUUGGCGGGUGACUGCCCGGGAAGAUAGGUAAUGCCAACA